rnacentral:rRNA from 1 species
AGUGAACGCUGGCGGUAGGCCUAACACAUGCAAGUCGAACGGCAGCACAGUAAGAGCUUGCUCUUACGGGUGGCGAGUGGCGGACGGGUGGGGAAUACAUCGGAAUCUACUUUUUCGUGGGGGAUAACGUAGGGAAACUUACGCUAAUACCGCCUACGACCUACGGGUGAAAGCAGGGGAUCUUCGGACCUUGCGCGAUUGAAUGGGCCGAUGUCGGAUUAGCUAGUUGGCGGGGUAAAGGCCCACCAAGGCGACGAUCCGUACCUGGUCUGAUAGGAUGAUCAGCCGCACUAGAACGGAGACACGGUCCAGACUCCUACGGGAGGCAGCAGUGGGGAAUAUUGGACAAUGGGCGCAAGCCUGAUCCAGCCAUACCGCGUGGGUGAAGAAGGCCUUCGGGUUGUAAAGCCCUUUUGUUGGGAAAGAAAAGCAGCAGGUUAAUACCCCGCUGUUCUGACGGUACCCAAAGAAUAAGCACCGGCUAACUUCGUG